ACCUCUGGGCAGAGAAACAAAGCUCUAUAUGCACAGCCCAGCAAAGAGCAGCACACAGCUGAAAGAAAAACUCAGAAGACAGAGCUGAAAAAGAAAACUGGUGAUGGAUCUCAUUCCAAACUUUGCCAUGGAAACAUGGGUUCUUGUGGCUACCAGCCUGGUACUCCUCUAUAUUUAUGGGACCCAUUCACAUAAACUUUUUAAGAAGCUGGGAAUUCCUGGGCCAACCCCUCUGCCUUUUCUGGGAACUAUUUUGUUCUACCUUAGGGGUCUUUGGAAUUUUGACAGAGAAUGUAAUGAAAAAUACGGAGAAAUGUGGGGGCUGUAUGAGGGGCAACAGCCCAUGCUGGUCAUCAUGGAUCCCGACAUGAUCAAAACAGUGUUAGUGAAAGAAUGUUACUCUGUCUUCACAAACCAGAUGCCUUUAGGUCCAAUGGGAUUUCUGAAAAGUGCCUUAAGUUUUGCUGAAGAUGAAGAAUGGAAGAGAAUACGAACAUUGCUAUCUCCAGCUUUCACCAGUGUAAAAUUCAAGGAAAUGGUCCCCAUCAUUUCCCAAUGUGGAGAUAUGUUGGUGAGAAGCCUGAGGCAGGAAGCAGAGAACAGCAAGUCCAUCAACUUGAAAGAUUUCUUUGGGGCCUACACCAUGGAUGUAAUCACUGGCACAUUAUUUGGAGUGAACUUGGAUUCUCUCAACAAUCCACAAGAUCCCUUUCUGAAAAAUAUGAAGAAGCUUUUAAAAUUGGAUUUUUUGGAUCCCUUUUUACUCUUAAUAUACAGAGUCUCGCUGUGUUGCCUAGGCCGGAGUGCAUGGUGCGAUCUGGGCUCACUGAAACCUCCACCUCCUGGGUUCGAGUGAUUCUCCUGCCUCAGCCUCCUGAGGAGCUGGGAUUACAGCACUCUUUCCAUUUCUUACCCCAGUUUUUGAAGCCCUAAAUAUCGGUUUGUUUCCAAAAGAUGUUACCCAUUUUUUAAAAAAUUCCAUUGAAAGGAUGAAAGAAAGUCGCCUCAAAGAUAAACAAAAGCAUCGAGUAGAUUUCUUUCAACAGAUGAUCGACUCCCAGAAUUCCAAAGAAACAAAGUCCCAUAAAGCUCUGUCUGAUCUGGAGCUUGUGGCCCAGUCAAUUAUCAUCAUUUUUGCUGCCUAUGACACAACUAGCACCACUCUCCCCUUCAUUAUGUAUGAACUGGCCACUCACCCUGAUGUCCAGCAGAAACUGCAGGAGGAGAUUGACGCAGUUUUACCCAAUAAGGCACCUGUCACCUACGAUGCCCUGGUACAGAUGGAGUACCUUGACAUGGUGGUGAAUGAAACGCUCAGAUUAUUCCCAGUUGUUAGUAGAGUUACGAGAGUCUGCAAGAAAGAUAUUGAAAUCAAUGGAGUGUUCAUUCCCAAAGGGUUAGCAGUGAUGGUUCCAAUCUAUGCUCUUCACCAUGACCCAAAGUACUGGACAGAGCCUGAGAAGUUCUGCCCUGAAAGGUUCAGUAAGAAGAACAAGGACAGCAUAGAUCUUUACAGAUACAUACCUUUUGGAGCUGGACCCCGAAACUGCAUUGGCAUGAGGUUUGCUCUCACAAACAUAAAACUUGCUGUCAUUAGAGCACUGCAGAACUUCUCCUUCAAACCUUGUAAAGAGACUCAGAUCCCACUGAAAUUAGACAAUCUACCAAUUCUUCAACCAGAAAAACCUAUUGUUCUAAAAGUGCACUUAAGAGAUGGGAUUACAAGUGGACCCUGACUUUCCCUAAGGACUUCCACUUUGUUCAAGAAAGCUGUAUCCCAGAACACUAGACACUUCAAAUUGUUUUGUGAAUAAAACUCAGAAAUGAA